rnacentral:rRNA from 1 species
GACGUCAAGUCAAGGUGCAGACUAUAGAAAAGUAGAGAUGGGCUACAUUCAGUUUCUGAAGCGGAGGGUUUUAUGAAAAUGAACUUUGAAGUUGGAUUUAGAAGUAAAAUGAAAAUAGAAUGUUUUUUUGAAAAUAGACCUAAAACAUGUACACAUCGCCCGUCACUCUUGUUUAUAAGAUGAGAAAAGUCGUAACAAAGUAGGUGUACCGGAAGGUGCCCCUAGU